rnacentral:rRNA from 1 species
CCUGAGAAACCUAAAAGAUCGAAUGAGGAGAUUCAUCGUCAAAUUAUUUGACAUUAAUGUGAAUUAUGAUGUAAUAUGUAGUCCUUGUGGCUAUUAUGUUAUACAUGUUUAUGUUAUUUUGUUAGAUAUGUCGGCGUGCACUUCUCCUCUAGUAGAACGUCGCAACCUGUUAAAUGUUGAUUUAUGGUCUGAUUGGUUGACUUUGAUAACUGCUUGCAGAUUUUCAGAGACCAUUGGAAUCCUAAUCAGCUGUUUGACAGUACUCUAAUGGUAUUAAGCCGCAUUUAUUUGCGUUAAUUUCGUUGCAAGUGUGGUUAAUAUAUAGUAGUGUGGAUUUAAUGCCAUCGCUGUUAUUAACUCACUGUUAGCGUACGAAAAUCUUUAACUGGCAUAAUACUGGUUAGCGAUGCUACUGCU